UUGAUGGCAAUGAGGAAGAAGAGUAGUCAUUUUACGAGACUUCAGAGAGCUGAUGGUUGGUGCGAAUCAGUGUUAAGGAAAUGAUGAAUGGGCUUCCGAGCUCCAAACCAAACCCGCUACUCAUGGCGGCAGUAGGCUUUGGCGUUACGUCCGUACGUUACAAUGGACACCGUAUCAAGCUGUCUUACACAGAAACGGUACGGAUUAAAGAGAUUUUGCGUAUGGAUGAUUCCUUGCGCGAAAUAACAAGGGUGGCACCACGGUUCAUUCGUCCCUGUC
rnacentral:ncRNA from 1 species